AGUUCGCCGUUUCUCCUCAAACCAACGCAGGACACAACCAGAGGAAGAUCACCUCGGCGCUGCAGUUUCAGAUUGUUAUUGCCCGCGGCGAGGUGAUCGUUCGUCUCCUUCCAAGCACUCAAAAGCAUCUGUCACGUUAGCGGGGUGUCACCGCCGGUGUUGGACAUUGUCCUCUUGCCCAAAGGAAAGCUUCACUCAGCCGAUUGUAUCCUUUACAACCCAUACCAUUCACGGGUUUCUCUCGACAUCCUCACUUAGCAGUGACAACGAUCAGUGGUAAAAAUUAAGAUGGACUGCAGGAGUGUUGUGAAUUUCUGCUUUUCACAUGGCAUAAAGUACUUCUAUUUGUAUAUUAUGGUAGUAAAACCUGCAGUUUGGUAAUAAAAGUUUCGCGUGAAAAAUACCUUUUUAUAUG